rnacentral:rRNA from 1 species
GAGCUUGCUCUUCUGGAUCAGUGGCGAACGGGUGAGUAACACGUGAGUAACCUGCCCUUGACUCUGGGAUAAGCGUUGGAAACGACGUCUAAUACCGGAUACGAGCUUCAGCCGCAUGGCUAGGAGUUGGAAAGAAUUUUGGUCAAGGAUGGACUCGCGGCCUAUCAGGUUGUUGGUGAGGUAAUGGCUCACCAAGCCUACGACGGGUAGCCGGCCUGAGAGGGUGACCGGCCACACUGGGACUGAGACACGGCCCAGACUCCUACGGGAGGCAGCAGUGGGGAAUAUUGCACAAUGGGCGAAAGCCUGAUGCAGCAACGCCGCGUGAGGGACGACGGCCUUCGGGUUGUAAACCUCUUUUAGCAGGGAAGAAGCGAAAGUGACGGUACCUGCAGAAAAAGCACCGGCUAACUACGUGCCAGCAGCCGCGGUAAUACGUAGGGUGCAAGCGUUAUCCGGAAUUAUUGGGCGUAAAGAGCUCGUAGGCGGUUGGUCGCGUCUGCUGUGAAAUCCCGAGGCUCAACCUCGGGUCUGCAGUGGGUACGGGCCAGCUAGAGUGCGGUAGGGGAGAAUGGAAUUCCUGGUGUAGCGGUGGAAUGCGCAGAUAUCAGGAGGAACACCGAUGGCGAAGGCAGUUCUCUGGGCCGUUACUGACGCUGAGGAGCGAAAGCGUGGGGAGCGAACAGGAUUAGAUACCCUGGUAGUCCACGCCGUAAACGUUGGGCGCUAGAUGUGGGGACCAUUCCACG